CGCCCGGCUGCUCUCGGCCGACACAAGCUGCUGCUAGCGCCCGGGUUCCCGAUGGCCUCCCCCGCGCCUCCCUCGCGGCUGCGCCCUGCUCGCGCCCGGCUCCCGCGCGCCUCCAGCCGCAUCUGCUCGCCCGCGCCGCCCCGCCCGCUUUAUUCCAGCAACAUGGCCUCCCGCCUGGACGCGACCAUUGGCUGUCCCUGAACGGGGGUGCUGGGAGCGCCCCGGCCCCAGUCAAGCGACCGAAUGCAGCGAGCAAACCAUGAUCCUGGUCAGCAGGCUUUGCGUUGAAGACUGGUAUUUGCACCCUGAUGAUAGGGUGCAUUGCCCACCAGCAAGGAAGGCCACUGUGGAUACAGUCCUGAGGGUGGCACACACUGGUCUCUGCUGCUUCAGCCUGUGAAAACCUACACGGUCAAACCCCCUC
rnacentral:lncRNA from 1 species